rnacentral:rRNA from 1 species
GACGAACGCUGGCGGCGUGCUUAACACAUGCAAGUCGAACGGAAAGGCCCUGCUUGCAGGGUACUCGAGUGGCGAACGGGUGAGUAACACGUGGGUGAUCUGCCCUGCACUUCGGGAUAAGCCUGGGAAACUGGGUCUAAUACCGGAUAGGAGCCAUUUUUAGUGUGAUGGUUGGAAAGUUUUUUCGGUGUAGGAUGAGCUCGCGGCCUAUCAGCUUGUUGGUGGGGUAAUGUCCUACCAAGGCGGCGACGGGUAGCCGGCCUGAGAGGGUGGACGGCCACAGUGGGACUGAGAUACGGCCCAGACUCCUACGGGAGGCAGCAGUGGGGAAUAUUGCACAAUGGGCGCAAGCCUGAUGCAGCGACGCCGCGUGGGGGAUGACGGCCUUCGGGUUGUAAACUCCUUUCGCUAGGGACGAAGCUUUUUGUGACGGUACCUAGAUAAGAAGCACCGGCUAACUACGUG